GACGAACGCUGGCGGCGUGCCUAAUACAUGCAAGUCGAACGCAGUGGGGACGGGUGAGUAACACGUGGGUAACCUCCCAUCAGAGGGGAUAAAACUUGGAAACAGGUGCUAAACCGAUACUGAUGGAUGAACCCGCGGUGCAUUAGCUAGUUGGUGAGGUAACGGCUCACCAAGGCCACGAUGCAUAGCCGCCCUGAGAGGGUGCUCGGCCAGACGGGUACUGAGACCCGGCCCAGACUCCUCAGGGAGGCAGCGGUAGGGAAUCGUGGGAAAUGGACGAAAGUCUGACCGAGCAACGCCGCGUGAGUGAAGAAGGUUUUCGAAUCGUAAAGCUCUGUUGUUAGAGAAGCGGUAUCUAACCAGAAAGCCCCGGCGAACUACGUGCCAGCCGCCGCGGUAAUAC
rnacentral:rRNA from 1 species